UACGUAGGUGGCAAGCGUUGUUCGGAAUUAUUGGGCGUAAAGGGCGCGUAGGCGGUUUGCUAAGUCAGUUGUGAAAGCCCGGGGCUCAACCCCGGAGGGUCGGCUGAUACUGGUGGACUAGAGUACGGAAGAGGUAGCUGGAAUUCCCGGUGUAGCGGUGAAACGCGUAGAUAUCGGGAGGAACACCUGAGGCGAAGGCGGGCUACUGGGCCGAUACUGACGCUGAGGCGCGAAAGCCAGGGGAGCAAACGGG
rnacentral:rRNA from 1 species